UCGCAACACCAACAUCUGCAUUGCGCUAGACCAUUCAUCUCCAAAGAAGCUCGCAAGUUCUUCUUGGUGACUAGCAAUCUAUUUUUCCAUGUUGGUGUUGAUAAACUCAAUCCAUGUUACCGGCCGUACUGCAGCUUUCCGUUCUUCUUGCGUUUCCAGUGACCCUUUGGAGACUCUUCUCUUACUUCGACAAACCCAGAAACCUCUUUCCACUUCUCUUUAUCCUGCUUAAGAUGAUGCCUGUGAUGUUAUACUAAUUUGGUGAUCUACUUUGAUUUCCGGGUUGUGAUACUCGUCUCCCUUCAGCUCUCCUUGGUGAUUAUCCUCCACCAUAUCAGCUGUUUAAGACGUUCUCCCCUCUCCGGUGAUUUGUUUCUUCUUUCCCCGACCUAGAUACUCGUCUCCCUUCAGUCUCCUUGGCUGUUUAAGACGUUUCUCAGCUGCUCCACCUUGAGCUAAAACCUCCGCCUCGCAUCUAUGCUCACAGGUAACUCUUUAAACUCUCCCUUGAGUUUUCCAUUAUCAAUAUAAACCUGAAACUUACUUGCUUCUCCUCCUCUGUCUCUGCGAGCUUGAGACAGCGUUGAUAAUGGAGUUACCUGGAGCGUCUUCCUUCUUAGGCGGAAUCGCAGCGAACCUGAAGCUCCUCUCCA